rnacentral:sRNA from 1 species
GCACAGUCCAUACGCAAUGGCCGGCGCCGACACGUCGAGAGUUGAGCGCAGAAACUUACAAGAAAAUUGCCCGGAUCUGAGGUCCGGGCAAUUCGU